ACAACGAACGGCAAGAAGUCAGCAGAGGCCAUAGUACUGGUGUUUUUCCACUGGGAAGGGC
rnacentral:ncRNA from 1 species